UGGGAAUCUGCCCUCAGGUACGGAAUAACUCAAGGGAAACUUGAGCUAAUACCGCAUAAUGUCUUCGGACCAAAGAUUUAUCGCCUGGGGAUGAGCCCGCGUAGGAUUAGCUUGUUGGUGAGGUAAAAGCUCACCAAGGCGACGAUCCUUAGCUGGUCUGAGAGGAUGAUCAGCCACACUGGGACUGAGACACGGCCCAGACUCCGUACGGGAGGCAG
rnacentral:rRNA from 1 species